rnacentral:rRNA from 1 species
GUACCCCAAACCGACACAGGUGGUCGGGUAGAGAAUACCAAGGCGCUUGAGAGAACUCGGGUGAAGGAACUAGGCAAAAUGGUACCGUAACUUCGGGAGAAGGUACGCUCUUGAUGGUGAAGUCCCUUGCGGAUGGAGCUGACGAGAGUCGCAGAUACCAGGUGGCUGCAACUGUUUAUUAAAAACACAGCACUGUGCAAAAUCGUAAGAUGACGUAUAGGGUGGGACGCCUGACCGGGGCCGGAAGAAUAAGGG